GGCUUAGGAUGAACGCUAGCGACAGGCCUAACACAUGCAAGCGAGGGGCAGCACAAGGAGCAAUCUGAGGUGGCGACCGGCGCACGGGUGAGUAACACGUAUGCAACCUGCCUGUAAGCGGGGAAUAACCCGUUGAAAGACGGACUAAUACCGCAUAAUACUAAAUUACUGCAUGGUAAUUUAUUUAAACAUUUAUGGCUUACAGAUGGGCAUGCGCAUGAUUAGCUAGUUGGAGAGGUAACGGCUCCCCAAGGCAACGAUCAUUAGGGGUUCUGAGAGGAAGGUCCCCCACACUGGUACUGAGACACGGACCAGACUCCUACGGGAGGCAGCAGUGGGGAAUAUUGGUCAAUGGACGAGAGUCUGAACCAGCCAAGUCGCGUGCAGGAAGAAUGUCCUUAAUGGAUUGUAAACUGCUUUUGCAGGGGAAUAAAGUGCAUCACGUGUGAUGUUUUGUAUGUACUCUGCGAAUAAGGAUCGGCUAACUCCGUGCCAGCAGCCGC
rnacentral:rRNA from 1 species